CUUAAGUUUGGCCCCCCGAAACUAGACGAGCUACUCUAAAACAGCCCACAGAGCUAACCCAUCCCUGUUGCAAUAGGGUGGAAAGAUUUUAAAGUAGAGGCGACACACCUACCGAGCCUAGAAAUAGCUGGUUAUUUAAUAAACGGAUUUGAGUCCCCCUUUAAGCUUCCCCAGUCUAACUAAACCCCCCACAAGCUUAAAAGCCAUUCAAA
rnacentral:rRNA from 1 species